UAAGAGGAAAAUCCGUCGACUUUCAAAAUCGUGAGGGUUCAAGUCCCUC
rnacentral:tRNA from 2 species